UAUGUUUUAAAUAGUAAAGUAAAAAUAUAAUAAAUUUUUGAAUUUAAUGGUGUGUGCAUAAGUUCUUUUAUUUUAACUUUAUCAUUUUAUUUAAAUUACUGCAUUAUAAGCAAGUAAGUUUGACUGACAAUAUAAAUAACGUUGUAUAUCAUGCAGACAGCUCAGACAAAGAACUGUUCAUUAACAAGUCCGGUGCUUUAUAAUAUAUUUAAAGGUGGUAAGGACGUGAAGAAAACAGGUUUGUAAAUGAUGUUGUACAUCAUGCAGAUAGCUCAGAAG